rnacentral:rRNA from 1 species
GACGAACGCUGGCGGCGUGCUUAACACAUGCAAGUCGAACGGUAAGGCCCUUCGGGGUACACGAGUGGCGAACGGGUGAGUAACACGUGGGUGAACUGCCCUGCACUUCGGGAUAAGCCUGGGAAACUGGGUCUAAUACCGGAUAGGACCACUGCCUACAUGGGUGGUGGUGGAAAGCUUUUGCGGUGUGGGAUGGGCCCGCGGCCUAUCAGCUUGUUGGUGGGGUGAUGGCCUACCAAGGCGACGACGGGUAGCCGGCCUGCGAGGGUGACCGGCCACACUGGGACUGAGAUACGGCCCAGACUCCUACGGGAGGCAGCAGUGGGGAAUAUUGCACAAUGGGCGCAAGCCUGAUGCAGCGACGCCGCGUGAGGGAUGACGGCCUUCGGGUUGUAAACCUCUUUCAGCACCGACGAAGCGCAAGUGACGGUAGGUGCAGAAGAAGGACCGGCCAACUACGUGCCAGCCGCCGCCGUAA